AUUGCAAACUCUCAGCUCAUAACAAAUCCUCUCUCGACUAUAGCUUUUCUUUAAAAAACCUCCCUUUUCCCUUCCAAACACCUAUUACUUCCAAACUGGUACUCAUUAUUGUCUUUUCUCCUUGUUCUAUUCCUUAAUUUACUAAGAAGUAACUACCUUGGGCGCACUACAAACUACCCUCCUCUUUCGUUCACUUUUUGUUAAUUUCUUCAAUCAACCAGCUAAAGCUUAACUCAAUGUCUUCUAAUGGCUGGACCCUACAACAAAACAAGGCUUUUGAAAGUGCUCUUAACAAGUACGACAAGGAUACACCUGAUCGUUGGAACAAUAUUGCCAAAGAGGUUGGUGGAAAAUCUGUUGAUGAUGUAAAGAAGCGUUAUCAAGAACUCCUUGAGGACAUCCAACACAUUGAGUCAGGCCGAGUGCCCUUCCCUUAUAAUUGGAAGAUGUAACCAAAGGAUGAAGAAUACAAAAAUUCAACCAAAGAUCGUUAUCGUGGAUGAAUAAAACCAACUGUGGCUAUUACACAUUGGUGCUACCCAUUUAGAAUUUCUCAUUCUAGUUGAAUUCGCAAAUUUGUUACUUCGUCAAUGGUUUUAUUUUUGUAUCAUAUAGCUAUGUAUCAAAUACCAAAAAUGCAAUGUAUUGAUGCUCCCAAAUGCGCAAGCAUGUACCAAAAGGAGCCAAUUAAUUAUAUAUAAUUGUGUUUGUAAUUACAUAAUAUCUAUGCAAUAGAAUUAUUGUUUGCACUUAAAA